GUGCAUUAGCCAAGAAACUCUACUUAGAGCCCCAGACAGUGUAAAGGUAUGUGGACUACAACUAAUUGCAUUUGAGCUUCCUCAAAUAGUGCUCUGCUCCAGCUUAGAUCAAAAUAUUGCAUAUCCCAGAUCAAGCUCCCAUUGGAAGAGAUGAACAAAUAAAAUUAACAACAAACUCAUUACAACAUGACAAAACAGUAAACACAACUUCGUAAAUGGAAGGAAGAUUAAAGGAAAAAUUCAAGAGCAAAGAGACUAAAGAUUUUAAUAGUGGUCUAGGCUUUUUUCCAAAAGGAAAGAGCCAUAAUGGUUCUUCCUUUCCAUCCCUGCAGAAUCCAAUGGCCCUCUUCAUCAAUCCUAAAAUCAUUAUGAUAACCCAUAAACUUCAACAUUCUCUCCACUUUCUUCAAAAUCUCUUGGUCUAGUGGGAGUUGCUUGAACCCAGCCCUCACAUUCCUAACCUGCCACUGCUUGUAUGUCUCAGGCCUUUCAACUCUUUCCAGUCCCUCGCACGCUACGACAUUCAAUAUGUCCUUACCAUAUACAGCUUUUUCGAACAUCAGCCGCCGUUCAUCUUCACGAGGAACACUGGCCUCAAACACAUCAAACAGUGCAGAGAAGUGGAAGAGUGCCUCUCUGAACCGUGUGACAAAGAAGGGUGAAUUGUAUGUCCCAUUGACAACCCCAUGAAUGAAUAGGUCUGGAUUAAUUUUCUUGAUCAAUUUUAGGACAAUGUCUCUUGGACUGUUCACCAUCACUGUAUCAUCAGGUAUGUGCCUUAGCCGGUUCAUACAAUUCACAACAAUCAUCUCAUUUCUGUCAAUUUUAAGAUCCUCAAAUUGGAUUGUUUCCCACUUCUGAGCAAUGACAUUGUACUCAAAUGGGACAUUAAAUCUCUCAGCAUAUUUUUUUAGGCGACACCCCGUCUCUUCAACCUUUUCUGUAGGCCGGAAACCUGGUUGGGGAAGCUCAAUUGCUGUGAUACGAAGCUUAGGAGGUCCACCCGGUCUCUUGGAGAGAUGGUGGAUAAAGCAGGGCCAUUGGAAACCAUAAGAAAUGCCAAAAUCAAUAACGUGAAGCCUUGUUGCUUUUUCUGCUAGUUUCAGAAUUGUUCUGUUCGCCAAGAAAUUUGACACCGUCCUGAAAGGGGAUGAAGUAACAAAUACCUCAUAAGCUUUUAAGAUUUCAGCAGCUGAUAUCUGCAUACUAAUAAGGGGAGAGUAUGAUGGAGUUCUGGCUCCAGCCAAGCGUGCCUCUAGGCCAUCCGCAAAGUAAUGAGCUAAUCUCUGGGUAGCAUCACCAUAGGGGGAAGAAUGCUGCCUUAUCUGCUUGAGUAGUUCACUUGCAGUUCUUUGGUCAUAGCUUGCCACAGCUUGUGCACUUGCAGUUCUUUGGUCAUAGCUUGCCACAGCUUGUGCACAUUGAGUUAACAGUGUGCUCAAAUCCACCAGUUCCCUGUUGUUAUUCUGCUUCUUUGAAUCCCUUGUUUUAGACCCUUUUGACUGCUUCUUGUGCUGCAACUUCCCACUUCCCUCAGUUAUCAAAGAUUCAUCAUUAGAACACGAUUCAAACUCAUGAUUCCCAAGACAAAGUAAAACUUCAUCAAACAUUUCUUGUGGCUCAGAGUCGUCAGCAAAAGCAACUGGCUGCUUGUUGCUUCUGCCUUCUUCUGGAUAAUCACCAUCGUCCCUUUGAUGAUUUUUCUUUCCCUUUGAUCUAUUUGUUGAACUGUAGUCAUCAUUGUCUGGCCUCCUCAUCAGUGUGUUAGUAGCUAGAGGCCACUGAUCAAGACCCGGAGGCAUUAACUGGGACCCCUUCAGAUCAAUAGUUUCAAAUUUUACUUUUGGAAGAAACUUGCUUGCUUCCCUUAACCCUCCAAAAUACUCAAGCCUUUGCAUCUCAGAAAGUGAAUCUGAAUCCAAAACAGCAUCUGGUAGAGACUGAACAAGAGAAGAUUGGACUUUUGAGGUUUCAGAAGGAUCAAAAACCCAGUUUGUCUUUGCAGCAAUAGAGGCAUUACUGUUAUGACAACUAUGUGGGGAAUCAUCAUCUGAGUUCUCAAAGCUUUGGUGCACAGAAAGAGGGGGUUGGUUGGGUGAAAGAGGGUCCUUUUGAUUAAGGACAUCAUAGAAAGAUUUUUCAGCAGCUUGGAGGGUCAAACAGUCCUGCAACAUGCAGGGCUUACCCUCCAGGUCUUCUUCUAGAAGAAUAUCACUUAUGUACUUAAUCACAGGGCGAUUGUAAUCACUAAUGUCAGUAGUAUCUCCAUCUGAACCAGAGCUCAAAUAAGUAUUUGAAUCACUAGGGUGGUCCAAAUUGGUUGAAGCUGAGCCAUCCCCAAAAUUGAAUCUUUCCAAGGAAAGAGAAUAUCUUUCAAGAAGGGUAUCCAUAAAAACAAUCUAUCAACCAAUUUACCUGGACAGAUUUUUAAUUUUUCAAGAAACCCAACUGUGAUAUGAAAUUUUGGAAUAGAAAGGAAGGGAAAUGAAUAUUGGAAUCUCAAGUUAUGAGACUCGCCAAAUUAGAACUUGACCCAAUUGGGCAAGUGAGAGAUACCCAGAACACAGACAGAUAGCAAGAUUCAAAUUUGCACAAUAUCAACAAACUGGUUUAGGUUAUGAACAAGAUAAAGAUUGAACAAACAAAAAUUGAAUAAAAUGAUGAAACUUCUGGAAUAACUAAGAAAUAUAGCAGAGUACCUCACACCUGAAGAAAAUCAUAAUUACCAGACAGCUAUAAUGUACUCUGGACGUGUAUAUAUACAUGGGAGAAUAUGCUUAUCCUCUGAGAAAAACUUAAGCUGGAAGAUCCAUCUUCAUAGCAAUGAACCUUCUGGGAAAGCCUCAUGAACCAGCCGCCACGUUUCUACAUUAUUACCAGCCAACAGACCACAUAGGAUAGGUUUUGACAUAAAGUGUUUUCAAGCUUGUGGAAGAGUCAAGAGGACCAUCCAUUUAAGAUAUACACCACCCAGAG
rnacentral:lncRNA from 1 species